rnacentral:lncRNA from 1 species
GAGUUUCUCUUUGGGUCAAUUUUUCCCAUCUGCAUCAUAUUGAGAUCACUGGCAGAGCCAACAGGUGAUAUGGUAGGUUUCUUCUUGAACAUGCUCGCAAUCUCCUGAUCUUUUCCCAUCUGCAUCAUAUUGAGAUCACUGGCAGAGCCAACAGGUGAUAUGGUAGGUUUCUUCUUGAACAUGCUCGCAAUCUCCUGAUCCAUCAAAGCAGCUUCCAUGAUAUAGCAUACAAGCAUCCUCUUAAAGUGGUCGAUGAUCGGACCAUAUUCAGCUUCGUUUGUUAGAAGGAUGUUGUGCAAGAUAAUCCAAUCAUGGGGAUUAAGGUUGGGAAGAUCUGCAAGUGAGAUGGCAUGUUCGGUCUUGGCAGAACCCCGUAGUACCUUGAACCGAACGUUGGUGAAGUU